AACGAACGCUGGCGGCAGGCCUAAUACAUGCAAGUCGAACGCCCGUAGCAAUACGGGAGUGGCAGACGGGUGAGUAACGCGUGGGAACAUACCCUUUGGUACGGAACAACUCCGGGAAACUGGAGCUAAUACCGUAUGUGCCCUAUGGGGGAAAGAUUUAUCGCCAAAGGAUUGGCCCGCGUCUGAUUAGCUAGUUGGUGGGGUAACGGCCCACCAAGGCGACGAUCAGUAGCUGGUCUGAGAGGAUGAUCAGCCACACUGGGACUGAGACACGGCCCAGACUCCUACGGGAGGCAGCAGUAGGGAAUAUUGGACAAUGGGCGCAAGCCUGAUCCAGCCAUGCCGCGUGAGUGAUGAAGGCCUUAGGGUUGUAAAGCUCUUUCGGCGGGGACGAUAAUGACGGUACCCGCAGAAGAAGCCCCGGCUAACUUCGUGCCAGCAGCCGCGGUAAGGUCGUCAUGU
rnacentral:rRNA from 1 species